UACGUAGGGGGCAAGCGUUGUCCGGAAUCAUUGGGCGUAAAGAGCGUGUAGGCGGCCCGGUAAGUCCGCUGUGAAAGUCCAGGGCUCAACCCUGGGAUGCCGGUGGAUACUGUCGGGCUCGAGUCCGGAAGAGGAGUGUGGAAUUCCUGGUGUAGCGGUGAAAUGCGCAGAUAUCAGGAAGAACACCCGUGGCUAAGGCGGCUCUCUAGUAGCGUCGAGCUGACGCUGAGACGCGAAAGCGUGGGGAGCGAACAG
rnacentral:rRNA from 1 species